GGCAAAAGCUCAAAUUUGAAAUCUGGUACCUUCGGUGCCCGAGUUGUAAUUUGGAGAGGGCAACUUUGGGGCCGUUCCUUGUCUAUGUUCCUUGGAACAGGACGUCAUAGAGGGUGAGAAUCCCGUGUGGCGAGGAGUGCGGUUCUUUGUAAAGUGCCUUCGAAGAGUCGAGUUGUUUGGGAAUGCAGCUCUAAGUGGGUGGUAAAUUCCAUCUAAAGCUAAAUAUUGGCGAGAGACCGAUAGCGAACAAGUACAGUGAUGGAAAGAUGAAAAGAACUUUGAAAAGAGAGUGAAAAAGUACGUGAAAUUGUUGAAAGGGAAGGGCAUUUGAUCAGACAUGGUGUUUUGUGCCCUCUGCUCCUUGUGGGUAGGGGAAUCUCGCAUUUCACUGGGCCAGCAUCAGUUUUGGUGGCAGGAUAAAUCCAUAGGAAUGUAGCUUGCCUCGGUAAGUAUUAUAGCCUGUGGGAAUACUGCCAGCUGGGACUGAGGACUGCGACGUAAGUCAAGGAUGCUGGCAUAAUGGUUAUAUGCC
rnacentral:rRNA from 1 species